GGGUCAAGCUUUGAGAUUCCACCCGCUGCUUUGCAAUCUUUUAUCACCCUUUCUAUUGUGAUCAUUAUUCCCAUCUAUGACCGUGUUCUUGUUCCUUGUGCACGAGCUGUAACCGGGAAACCCUCUGGCAUAACAAUGCUUCAAAGAAUUGGGGUUGGUAUAGCCUUCUCCAUCAUUUCUAUGGUAAUUGCAGCUCUGGUAGAGAUGAAAAGACUCCAAACUGCUCGUGACUACGGGCUGGUUGAUAAACCCGAUGUUACCAUUCCAAUGUCCAUCUAUUGGCUGGUUCCACAGUACGUGCUAUUUGGAAUUGCUGAUGUAUUCACUAUGGUUGGUCUGCAAGAAUUCUUUUAUGAUCAAGUUCCAAAUGAACUAAAAAGUAUUGGUCUUUCUCUGUACCUCAGCAUCUUUGGUGUUGGGAGCUUCCUUAGCAGCUUUCUUAUUUCCAUUAUCGAGAAAACAACUGGUUCUGAUGGUCAGGACAGUUGGUUCUCAGACAACUUAAAUCGAGGACAUCUGGAUUACUUUUAUUGGUUACUCGGGGGCCUUAGUACAAUCUCAGCUGUAUUGUACUUAUACUCUGCAAGAACAUAUGUUUACAAACAGAGGCAUACUUUCUGAGUCUACGGAGAUGACUGUUGUUGUUAGCAUAAUACAACUAUAUAAGCUAGUACCAUAGCAAUGAAAGUUUCUUUGUAAACGACUGCAUUUGUAUACACGAGCUUUCGUUAAACGGCUUGUAAUGCUCCAGUUGGUUAAGUAUCAUCUGAAAUACUACAGUUCAGUUAUCGGAACAGAGAGCAGGCUUCCCCUCCAGCAGGAACAGGAAACGUAACACAGGGUUUAAGAAAUUUUAUGGUGUUUCAGAAUAGAGCCAACAACAAGAUUGAAUAGCACUAUAGGCUAUAGCUGGUAUGAAUCUGAGGAUUGUAAAUUUGUAACGCAGCACAAGUUGAAGGAAAGAGAUGUCAUGUUUUAACUUGAUCGCUCAACUCAUUUUCGAGUAGAGAUAAACUCAUAUCACCUACCCAAUUUAUAAAUCACUGGGGUUUAAAAAUAUUACGGUACAAACUACUAAAUACAAAUAUAAAUUCGAAUCAAUGCUUUUAAAAAUAUGGAAAGCUUCGUGGGUCUUGAGAAUGGACUCCGAGGAAGGUGUGUGAUAAAGUAUUGGGGCCUAGUGGACGGGGAUGAGCUCUAGUCGGGGAUGAGCUCUAGUCGGAAAGGAGUACGGUAAAGUAUUGGCUUUUGAGUUUAGAGCAGAUUAGAAUGGAUGAGUGUGGAUGAGUGACAUCUGGAGAUGGUUAAAAGGAGUACGGUAAAGUAUUGGUUUUUGAGUUUGGAGUGGAUCAGAAUGGAUGGGUGACAUCUGGAGACGGUUAAUGUCACAUGUCUAGCUUCUCAUUCAAUUUUCGUAUAAUUGAACCUCGUGUUGAAUUUAAUACUACUACACUUGCUAGCGUGGGCAAUAUUAUACCAAACGUAUAAUAUCAAGAAGAUGACAAUGACAACAUAAAAAGACACCACCUCGCGUUGAACAUAAUUUGAGUUUGACAUGGCUACUAUCACCGGAAUCACUGCUGCUGCCAUGGACACUCCGCUUCUGCUAAGCAACGACGACGUUGUCAGCAGCGUCGUUGACUUCAAAAACCGUCCUGCUCACCGAUCCAAAACUGGUGGAUGGAGAUCAGCUUCAUUCAUAAUAGGUAUCAAACAAAUUAAACUUCACAAAUCCUGAAACAAGUGCAAUUUGUAAUUAUAUAGUAUCAUGUAGAAAAUUAUGAAUCUGAUAUGCAGGAGUGGAAGUUGCUGAGAGAUUUGCGUAUUAUGGAAUAAGUACGAAUCUAAUAACAUUUCUUACUGGUCCAUUGGGUCAAUCCACUGCCAGUGCCGCAGCUAAUGUCAAUGCUUGGAAUGGAACCGCAUCUCUUUUGCCGCUGUUAGGUGCUUUUGUGGCUGAUUCCUUUUUAGGACGAUACCGUACUAUUACCAUUUCUUCUUGCAUUUACAUUCUGGUACGUGCUUCACUUCUUAUGUGCAUUUUAUUAUGCAAUCCCGCUCAAGUUAAACUGAUAAUUUUGUGAUUUAUAUGCAAAUUAUUCAUUAGUAAUUUAUGUAACUGUUGUGAGUGGCGGUUUUGAACUCAAAUUGUGAUUACUGUUUUGAAUCCAAAUCACCAGUUUCAACCACAGAAAUCAUCAGUGUCACAGAUCUUGUUUUAUCUGGUUCCUUGUUGCAUAAAGUUUGAGAAUGGAAUAAGAGUAUCAGAGACACCUCAAUGGUCAUUAAUGUUGAUUACCAUCAUGUACCUAAGGAGGCCGUAAGAAUUGAAUUGUCAAAUUUUGAACAUGCCUGUCAUUGUUUCUAAAAAUUUCAAGAGUUAUUAUACUGAGGCCAAAUAUGAUAUUAUGCAGACAGCUCAAUAAUAAGCAUUGAAUUGUCAAACGUCGAACAGGCCUGUCAUUGUUCCUGAAAAUUUCAAGAGCUAUUAUACAGCGGGCAUAAAUGAAAGUAUUCAGAUGAUGUAGUGUAUGUGGAUUGGUGGGACGUACGUUUAGGAUCAUACAAAUUUUGAUAACUAGAUGUAUGUUUAAUAAGCUCCCAUUAACUCAUGCUCUGCUAUUAAUCCCCAACCUCGAGCAAAUAUCUUUUCUAAGACCUAAUAAAGAGACAAAAGGAACCGUGCAAGGCCACUUCUGAUCAAUCAAAAGCUUUUACUUAUAUUUUGCAUCAUGCUGUUUAUUUGAUACAAUUUAUUCUAUUUAAAAAUUGCUAACUGCAUUUCUCAUAAAGUUGGAUUGAACUGCAGGGCCUUGGAUUGUUAACACUUUCAGCCAGUUUUACUUCUUCAACUUCUACAGGCUGUAUCACUGUCGCUGAUACUGGGACAUGUUCUCCUCCACAAAUCCAGAUUAUAUUCUUCUUUUUCUCUUUAUAUUUAGUAGCAGUUGCACAAGGAGGGCAUAAACCUUGCGUUCAGGCUUUUGGUGCUGACCAGUUUGAUGUUAAUGAUCCAGAGGAGUGCAAAGCUAAAAGUUCCUUCUUCAAUUGGUGGUACUUUGGAUUAUGUUCUGGUACUAUGGUGACUAUUAUAGUCUUAUCGUAUGUACAGGAUAACUUUAGCUGGGUACUUGGGUUUGGAAUUCCUUGUAUCGCCAUGGGAGUUGCUCUAGUCCUGUACUUGCUUGGGACAGUGACAUACCGGUAUAGUAGUAAUGAUGAUGAGAAAGGCCCUUUCACUAGAACCAGUCAAGUAUUUGUCAAAGCAAUUAAGAAUUGGAAAAUUGAUCCCUCUGAAUUAUCCAUUUUUGAGGAAGCUCGUGGAACUUUACCACAUCAGAAUUUUCUACAAUUCAAGUAAGUAAACAUAUUUCUUGUUCCAUGAGUUGGAAAAUUAAAUGACGUUUCUAAUCAGCUAUUUCAUUUUAUUCAGUUUUCUUAACAAAGCUUUGAUCUUGCCUAAUGGUUCAAAGGAAGAAGCAAACAUCUGUAGCAUGAAUGACGUUGAAGAGGCAAAAGCCGUUUUGAGGCUAGUUCCUAUAUGGGGUUCUUGUUUAGCAUUUGCCAUCGUCUUUGCACAGUCACCCACUUUCUUCACCAAGCAGGGAGUUACCCUAAACAGGUCUGUCGGGUCAAGCUUUGAGAUUCCACCCGCUGCUUUGCAAUCUUUUAUCACCCUUACUAUUGUAGUCAUUAUUCCCAUCUAUGACCGUGUUCUUGUUCCUUGUGCUCGAGCUGUAACCGGGAAACCCUCUGGCAUAACAAUGCUUCAAAGAAUUGGGGUUGGUAUAGCCUUCUCCAUCAUUUCUAUGGUAAUUGCAGCUCUGGUAGAGAUGAAAAGACUCCAAACUGCUCGUGACUACGGGCUGGUUG
rnacentral:lncRNA from 1 species